rnacentral:rRNA from 1 species
ACGGAAGGCAGCAGUGGGGAAUAUUGGACAAUGGGGGAAACCCUGAUCCAGCGACGCCGCGUGAGUGAAGAAGUAUUUCGGUAUGUAAAGCUCUAUCAGCAGGGAAGAUGAUGACGGUACCUGACUAAGAAGCCCCGGCUAACUACGUGCCAGCAGCCGCGGUAAUACGUAGGGGGCAAGCGUUAUCCGGAUUUACUGGGUGUAAAGGGAGCGUAGGCGGCCGCGCAAGUCAGGUGUGAAAACCCGGGGCUUAACUCCGGGACUGCACAUGAAACUGUGAGGCUGGAGUACGGGAGAGGCAAGUGGAAUUCCUAGUGUAGCGGUGAAAUGCGUAGAUAUUAGGAGGAACACCAGUGGCGAAGGCGGCUUACUGGACUGACAAUGACGCUGAGGCUCGAAAGCGUGGGGAGCAAACAGGAUUAGAUACCCUGGUA